ACCAAGUUCAGACCAAAAUAAUUACACUACUAAAUUGAUUAAGCAAUUUCUCUUCUCCCUCAAUUUUCCUUUCUCCCAUUUCAUAGAACUCUCAAUCUCAAGCAAAAAAACACUCGUCUUUUUGUCCGAAAUGUUCAGAGCAGAGAUGCAGAAUUUAAUUUAGUAUUGUCAAUUUUCGGCUUCAGAAAUAGACGAUUCACUCCCAGAACUUCAGUUCUUCAUGAUGCCAAUUGUCUACCAACCAUAAAAAUGAAUAAAGAUUUAAGGCUGUCGAAAUUAAUACUAACCUACAUCAGCCACCGUGACAACAAGUGCAAAAGUUAACAUUUCGGGAGCAAAUUAGAAUUGAGAAGAUCCUAAAACUAAAAUUUUGGCGGUGAUCAUGACACAAUCACUGUGAUCCAAUUAACAUUCAAAUAAAUGAAUUUCGCACUAUCAGCCAAUGUCACAUUAUAAACACCACCGCCUCCUUAGUCCUUACUAAUUCUAUGCACUAAAGAAUGCUACUAUCUAUGGAUCUUGAAAUCAAGCAACUCUUUUCUAUGGAUCUUGAAGUGGCAGACGUUCUCAGGACCUGUGAUAAUCAAAACCAUAAGGCAGGCCACUUGAAAAUGCUUUGAGAUAUAAGCCGUUGAAUCUCUCAAUCACCUAUAAGAAAGUGCAUGCAAUCUGCUGGUACUGUAUAUGUUUACAUUAACACAAAAAUCAGCAUCAAUGAAAGCAUUACAAUUAGUAAUGAAGUCAGCGAAGUAAUUACAUGACAACAACAGAGAACACACAUCUCAAAUCAAUGGAUGUAAUAAUAACAACUGCAAAUGUUAAAUAAAAAAUAAUAGAAGUUUCAGACAUCCAAGGAAGGAUUGAAGCAGCACUAGCUCUCAAGCCUGGCGAAGGCGAAAGCUCUUAGGUGGCCACUGCGAAUGUUUUGAGAAACAAGCCUUUGGAGUUGUCAUCAUCAACAGAAAGAUUAAACAAGACAGCAUUAUGCACUCCCUUUAUUUUUCAAUAAGCCUCUCAUUUAUGUGGUCAAAAAGCAAUGGAAAGGCAUUGCAUAGAAAAGAGAUGUUUGAAAACAUCAUACCACAACAGAGAUUCAAAUGGCACUCAAUAAAGUUGCAGACAGUGAAGAAUUUAGUCCAGGAUAUAAAAAAUCUAGAAGAUACAAAAGGAAUAAAAAAAAUCAGAGAAUUACACCAAAUACACCCGUGCAUUGACUUACCUAAGAGCUAACCCUACUGAAAUCAAGCAAAAAUCACUACAUAAUCAUUUUCUUUACUUGGAAAUUGGGGUCUCAGACAUCCAAGGAAGUAGUGAAGCAGCAUUAGCUCUCAAGCCUGGCUAAGGCGAAAGCUCUUAGGCGGCCACUGCGAAUGUUUUGAGAAACAAGCCUUUAAUAUGUCAUCAUUGUUCACAGAUUUCAGUAAAAAAAUUACUUGUUAUAAACAUUAGAAACAUCCCAUCUAAAUCAUUAACAUUCUCCAUGUACUCAGAAGUGCAAAUGCCAAAACUCUUCAGCGCAAACAGUAUGAUAAUGGUGAUAGAUUAUAAAAAAGGACGCACUCAAAGAGACACAAACGAAUAGAUAGUUAAAUCAAGUAGCAAAAUAUAGGCAAGUCAGACAAUUAAUAUGCCUCACAAGUUGAGUUCAUAAUGGAUUAAUUCCAUUCACACAUCUAAUUGAUUCAUCAUUCUUGCCAAUUUACUUUCUUGAAAUCAACGCAAUAAAGAAUAACCACAUACCAUUCAUCGUUUAAGUUCACUUCAACCAAAAUAAAUAAAAUAAAACCUCAAGGAAAAAAACAUCAAAUUGUGCGAAAUUUUGAAAAUUGUUUCCCACAGAGUGCGAGACAUUCAUAGAUUAUCAAUGGACCUGAUUCCCAUUAGUUGAAACAAAUGGGAAAACACAGGAACAAAGAACAAGGCCAAUGCCUCUUGAAGCAAUCUCCAGUGGGACAAGAAGGAGAACUCAAUAGGAAAACCCUAAAGAGAAACCCAUGAAUGCUUAAUAUUGCGCAGCUAUGACUCAAAACGCUUCCAUUGUUAUCUGGAAGGCGAUCUUAAGGGCUGCGCUUAUCAGAAAAACAAAAAGAACCCAAAAUUUGUGAGAUUGAUAAAAAGACAACAAAGAAAACAAUUGGAGCUGCAAAACCCUAGAAAAAAGAGAGGAAGAAGACAUUCUUAUAGCCCUGCGUCCAAGCAGUAAGAACAUGAAUCCCAAGAGAGGAGCGGCUUUAGGGUUUUGUGAAGUUUGAACUAUGAAGCACAGUAGAGAUGGGCCUCAAACUUUAAAAGACCUUCUGCAGAUUUUGGGUUGCCAUUGGAUCUCUUCUACAUGUAAAACCCUAACCCUAAUGAUCAUA
rnacentral:lncRNA from 1 species